rnacentral:rRNA from 1 species
AAUGAUGGUGACCUAAACCCUCACCAGAGUAACAAUUGGAGGGCAAGUCUGGUGCCAGCAGCCGCGGUAAUUCCAGCUCCAAUAGCGUAUAUUAAACUUGUUGCAGUUAAAAAGCUCGUAGUUGAAUUUCUGCGUUAUCGAGUUAUUGACUCUUGUCUUUAAUCGAUUUCGCUUUUGGGAUUUAUCCCUUUUUACUUUGAGAAAAUUAGAGUGUUUCAAGCAGACUUUUGUCUUGAAUACUUCAGCAUGGAAUAAUAGAGUAGGACUUUGGUUCUAUUUUGUUGGUUUUUGAACCUUAGUAAUGGUUAAUAGGAACGGUUGGGGGCAUUCGUAUUUAACUGUCAGAGGUGAAAUUCUUAGAUUUGUUAAAGACGAACUACUGCGAAAGCAUUUGCCAAGGACGUUUCCAUUAAUCAAGAACGAAAGUUAGGGGAUCGAAGACGAUCAGAUACCGUCGUAGUCC